rnacentral:tRNA from 1 species
GGGCAUAGUUUAAUGGUAGAACUGAAGCUUCCCAAGCUUUUAGCGCGGGUUCGAUUCCCGUUGCCC